ensembl:misc_RNA
AGAGAUGAAUUCUACUAUUUAACUAAAAACAGGUACUGUCAAUAUGCCUCAACCAUGUUCUGGAGAGACCAUCUCUCAGGGUGAAAGGGUAAUAUCCUCCUCCAUGUCUAUU